GCGGGGGUGCCCGAGCCAGGUCAAAGGGGUCGGGCUGAGGACCCGAUGGUGUAGGCCUGCGUGGGUUCGAAUCCCACCCCCCGCA
rnacentral:tRNA from 1 species